UUCUUCAACUAGACUGAAGGUGUCCUAACUGUAAGGGGAAAUGCCUCUAUAUAUGAUUUUUCAAUUUGUUUUUUAUUCAUAUUAGUAUAAUGCCUAUCAUCUACAUCAUAAUGAAUAGUAUAAUUCUUCAUUUGCUAUGGACUCACCUACAAAAAUUGAUAUUCAAAAAGAGAAACUGUUAGUAUUAAAAAACUUUCAGACAGGAACAAUUACUUCAAUAUGUAAUUUCAACAUCGCUUUUUCAACUGAUGAAUAUAUGUCAUGCGAUCGUUUUUAUGAAUCAAAACGAAGAGCAAGAAUAAUGGAUGAUAUUCCUUGUGAUAUGAGUUCAAGUUUGUUUUGUGAUAGGAAAGGAUCUUCUUACCCAGAAGCAGCUAUGUGGCGUUUUAAGGAAGAAAACAGAGCUUUAAUGAAAAGAAUGUACGGAGAUUUAGAAUCUACUUCUUUGUACAGAGAAAUGAGAUCAAGCAAACUUGAUAAUAUAGAUCCCCAUACUAUUUUUUCAAGUCUUCAAUACAACAUAAGAGUCGGAUCAGGAUUUAAAAAAGAGCCGAAAAUUAUAAAGAAGCUAAUUCAUAAGAAGAUACUAAGCGAGGAAAAACCUUUAACCUACAAAGUGGCAAGCACAAUUUUCUCUGAAAUAACCAAAUCAUCGGAAUUAGAUAUUAUCUACACCACCUCAAGUACUUCCAACCUUACUACAUUAAAUGAAUGGACGAAUAUAGUUUCAACAACGUUGAAUACUCCAACUCUAUAUGAAAAACUAAAUACAACCGAUGAAAAAAAUUUGACUGAUAUUCCUAUUGAGGAUUCAAAUACUGGAACACAUGCAUCUUUUCCAAGAACAACUUUGGAACCAUUGAGAUUUAGCACAGAGAAUUACUCACAAAUGAAAGAUCCUCUAAAGAUUUUAUCCGAAGAAAAAAAUCACUAUGAAGAUAUUUUACCUGAAACUAAUAUUGGAUAUGACUUCAAUGGUCCUUCUGUAAACGCAUGUCCUGUUAAAGAGGAAGUUUUAGCCCCUUUUUGGGCAAAUAAUACUCGAGAUCAAGUUUUGGCUCUACUUAAUUUAUACCCCUUUGAACAGUACAUUCAUAUGGAAACAUGCGAGCAUGAAAAUCAACAGUUUAUGUGUAAUGAUGGAUGCAGAUGUGAACAACAAUACCGUCUUCAUCGUCUAUUAGCAUUUGAUCCAACUAAUGAAUGUAGAGGAAUUUUUUCUGAUUGGUUUCGUUUUCCAUCUUUUUGUGUAUGCAAAUGUUAUUAUAAAAAAAAAAUACUAACUAAAGGCAAGUUUCGUAAAGGUCGAUAUUUUUAGUAUUUAUCAAAUCCACCUUCCAAAAUAUAAAAAAGUUUAUUUAUAAUUAUUAUAAUUAUUCAAUAGUGAAAAACAUUCGGAGUAGUAUUGGAUUAGUCCUACCACUGAUUACCUAAUCCUCCCCCUUCCAGUAUUUUUUUUUAUCAGUCCUAUCUUUUUUACCGUGUAUCGGUCCUACGGACUGAAACCUCUAUUUUUCAUUCAUAAGGUCCUAACUAUAUUUUUAUUUUCUACACUCAUAGAUAGAAUUGUAGAACAAAAAACUAAAAAAUAAGGAAUUAUAGGUAGAACGUAUCAUAAUACAUCCUUGUACAAUACUUUCUACUUUAAAUUUAAGGUAUUUUGAAUGCAUUUGAAGGAGUUUAUGAGUUAUGAUGAAAUUUCAUAGACUUAAAUGGCGUUUUUUAGUAGUAACUACAUAAUUUCAGCUAUUGUAGUUUUCAUAAAAGUACCGGUCCUAGAAUUGACUAAUUUUAUUAGGACUGGACUGGUGGGACUACAGUCUUUUUAGGUUUUUUUUCGAAAGAUCCAAUGAUAAUUCAGAGGUUUUUAUAACAUGGUUUUGUAGUAGGUGAAAAUGUUAUGAAGAAAUAGUAUAAAGAAAAGUUUGAUCCAUACCGAAAUAAACCAUGUCAUAACAUUUAAAUCCUAGGAAUUAUAAACAUUGGCCCAUCAAAGAUUUUCUUACUAAUUACCUAUUCAGACUUAUUCCUACCCAGUGCCUAUGUUUCUGUAAGAUAAGGAAUGGGAUUUGUAUUUAUUCCGUUCCUCUCAUAGCUGUUUGUCGGUAAUUUAAUGAAACGCCAUGACAGAUAUAUUGUCUUGGUUACCAUGUGAUUUUACACUUAGUAUUUUUUUUUCUUUUUCAAAUACCAGCAGUGCUUAGAAUCUACAACUCUACCCAUGGUUCUCAAUCAUUCUUUAUAUAAAAACCCCUGAAAAUUAUUAUAACACAAUCACAAGUAAUAGACCAAAAAAUAAAUGGAAUUUGUAUUAGAGACGUGGCCCAAUCUCCGUUUUUAAAGUUGCGUUAAAAUUUCUACAAAAACUACUAAAAAGAGUUGAAGUAAAUUAUGACAAAAAAAUAAUAAAAAAGGAAUAUAUUUUUCUUAAAAAAAAAUACUUGACUAACAUUAGUAAACCCUCCUUAACUCUCAAAUUUUAGUUUAGGGAAUUCCAGUUCUAUUUAAAGAUUUGGGGGUUCACCUAAAAUAAUGUUUUUUUCGACAAUCAAAUCAUUUUUCAGAUUUUAUGUUGCUCAAAUUAAGUUGUCACCUAUAAGAUCAACAAUAUAUUUGUAAAAAGAACUUUCUAUUAACAAAAAGACUAUUUAAUCGAAAUUUUAUUUUUCAUAUGUUUAAAUAUAAGUUCAAAAGUAACUGAAUAUUUUUCUACAGUAGGGACCAUAUUCAUUUUUUGUGCAUUAAGAGGAUUGUUCAAAUUAUAUACUUUGGUGUGUCUGAAAUCUAAAUAAAUUUAUUUAAUUUGAUAACUCAUGUACAUCAACAUGCUAAUAAUUAUUUUUAAAAUUUGGGUUAUUUUGCUAUUCCUCUAGAUUUAUAUUAUUUUCAUUUGUUAGAUCAUCUAAAGGUAGUUUACCACAUUUAUCUAUAUACAUGUAUAAUAAUUUAUUUCUAAGAAUUUUUUAUAUUAUAAUGUUCAAGAUUCAACAAUUCUCACUUACAAUGGAAUGUGCUUUAACAUGAUUUUUGUAUGUAGGUUUAUAUUUGUAUUAUCUAUGUAAAGAGCUUUAAUUUGAUACAAUACAUGACUAGGUUCAAGGAAAACUACGAAAAUUAACAAUUUUAUAACAUGGACCCUAGUAUAUACAUAAGCGUUCGGUAGCCACCAACGAACUUAGUGUCAUAUUUGAGAGAAUAUUUAAGAAAAUUAAAAGACUUCCAAAUGUGGAGUUUUACAAUUAUUAUGAGUCUACCUCCAAUUUAUUUUAAUAACUUUGCAUAUUAUAAUAUUUAACCCUCAACAAUUCUGCCUUUCAAAAUAAAGAUGUGAUUAAAAAUAUAUUUUAUUUGUAGGAGUGAAAAUAUCAUGAAAUAAAAUUUUGGAAGUACGUAAUUUUUUGUAGCAUUUUUUCUAUCAACUUUUACCGACUUUCUAUAUAUCCCAAUCAUGAAUAGUUUAAGUUCAUUUUAACUAGAAUAUUUUGUAUUUUAUACUUCCAAAAUAUUAUGAAAUAAAAAUUCAAACAUAAAAAAUUAAAUUUUGAUAAUUGCCAGUAAAUACCUAUAAUAUGAACUCCAUAAAACACUAAAAUACAAAUUUAAAGAUGUAGAUAAUUUCAUUUUACAAUAAAAAAAUUUACGCAAAUAGUUUUUACCAAAUGACACAGUAAAUUGAACUCACAAUUUUAAGUAUAUAUAUUUUUGUAGGAGUAUGAAUAGACAGGUAUAUAGAAACAGCAAUUUAUUUAAGUGUUUUGUGUUGAUGUGGUUAUUUUUGAUUUGACUAUAAAUCAACCAAAACCAUUGUAGGAUUAGUCACAAAACAGUUGGUAAAAAAAUUGAUGGAGAAGAAAAAUAAAUUGGCUCCUAAAGAGUUGCUAAAUAGUCAUGACCACCUCAUCAUUAUUAUAUAAUCAAUCUUUACCGAUUACGUAUUUUAUAAGAGAUUUCAAACUAUGUUUUGCACCUAAUAAAUAUAGAGUUUUAUGUUUUUGUUUUUUUUAAACAAAAAAUAAAUAAAACUGGGGAACAAGCAAUUUCUACUAAAGAAAUGAUGCCAAAAAUAUAUAUAUCUGUCAAUAGAAAAUCAAAAACUGAUCUCAAUUUUUGUCUGGAUGUUCAAGUUUCCGAAAUAUCUGAGAUUAUAGAAAUUCGAUACUAUUACGUUUCAGAGAUAUGUUUCAUAAGUAAGACAAUCACUAAAUUAAAGUAAGACGAAUAUAACUGAUAAAGCCUUUUUUAUACUUAUGAGAAUGUUUUUAUCAAUUAUGUAUCUAGUUUUGAACUCGACAUAUUUCAAUUUGUAGGCUGAAGAAUGAUGAAAAACUACACUUUUCUUGAGACCUUUAUAACUUAUUUAUAGUGAUAAGAAAUAUCAUAGCUUAUAUUAUAGAAAAGUAUUCUAUGUUUUAUUUAUAAAAACACCUAUUUAAAUAAUAUGCAUAUCCAAGGAUUUUGGUUUGAUUUUGUAUUUUUGAAUUAUCCUAUUUUCUAUGGGUAUAUACUAGGAAAUGUGCAACAUUAUCUUAAUUAUGUUCACUAUUUCAAUGUUACGACAAUGACGUCAUAAUCCGUAUUAAAUAUUCAUAAUGUAUAUCUCAAUAUAAUACCUUCCUAUGUACAAAUACAAAUACAGUAAUAACUAAUUGUAUUUGAAAUAUUGGAAAUCCCUAGUCAUCGUGAAUGGAUCUCUUCAUUGUUGCAAUCCUGAUAUCUUUUUCCGAAGGAAAGAGUCAAUUAUGUUUUCUUAUACAGCCUGGUAGUUUUCCUUGGAUGAAUUUUCAACCCGUCGUUCCCCGUAGAAUACGAAAUCCGAACAUAUUUUGAGAUAAAUGAUGAAGUAAGAAGUAUCUUCCUUUGAUUCACUCUACCUUCUUUUGGUAAUAACUAGAGAACAUAGAAGUCCACUUCUUCUGGUCUUAAUGAAUGAAUAAUGAUCUUAAGCCUUAACAAUUCUCAAAUUAAAUUUACAUAUAUAUUUCAAAUUGUUAUAUAUUUUAGUUUUAUGGUUAUACCUUUAGCUUACCGGAGAUAUCUGGAGGUUGAAAAAAAAACGAACCGUAAAUAAGUCGAUUUUGAAUGUAUUAAUGCAAUUGAAACAAAAAAUAAUUUAUACAGAGUUGUGGCUCGUUUAAGGAAAAGUCGUUGGCUAAAAAAGAAGAAGAAAAAGAAUUAUAUUUCUUAGAGUAAUUUGCAGAAUGCAUAUAUAUCUAAUUAAAAAAAAACCAAAAAAAAAAACCUCCAAUAGUAAGUACGACAGUUUGAUUGUCGCGUCCUCUAGUUAUGAAAUCUACUUAUACUGUAAUAUUAUUUAUUAAGGGGGAUGACAUCAUUAUCACAAAAUUGAAAUAUUUUAACAUUAUUUAUAUGUUCAAUAUUUGCUUGUACACAUUUUUCAGACUAAAAAUGGAAAUAUGUCGAGUUCAGAACAAAAUAAAAAAUAUGGACUUAAAACAUCCGUUUUUUCUCAUUUAAUUUCAAGGCCAGAGCAUAGAACAUAUGUUUUAAGUUUUUCGUCACAUUUUAAUCGAUAUUAAAGUUUGAAGUGAAGUACCAGUAAAAAUUAAAGUCAAUUAAAAUCUGCAUCACAUAAGCAUUUUAAAAUAGAUGUUGAAAAAUUAAAACCAAUAUUUUUUUUUCCAUUUUGAUGGAUAUUUUGUUUCACGCCUCUUUUGUUGUAAAAUAAGCAUUUUUGUGGUCCAUAUUGGAACCAUGUUCGAGUUCUGGACAGUAUAACACCGACCAUUCGAAUAAUAUAGUCCGCAAAACCCUUCCUGUAAAGGCUCUGGAUUAUAUAUUUGUGAGAUAGGGUAUCCAAUGCUUUAGCGAAAUAAAUUGCCAUUAGUGAGACAUUUUUUUCAGAUUCUAAUAGGGUUUGUAUAGUAAAAGGCAUAUUGCCCUUUAUUUUGCCUUGAACGAAACCAUUUUGGACAGUAUGCACGAUUUUUUUUAAACUAUAAUAAACGUAUUAGCAAGAACGUAGGAGAAGAUGAUGUAUAUUGCAUUUUCCAUUGUUAAAGGACGCAGGUUAUCUUAAUAUCAAGGAUCUUUUUUGGAGUUACAACAAUACAUCUGUCAGAUGCAAAACUAGGUAAAUAUCCAGUUAACAUAAUCUUUUCAUUACAAAAAAGAAGAAUUGGAGAAAAUUGCUUUGAAUUCUUCAAAACUAAUAUAACAUUCAAUGACAUUGUUAUCUUCUUCAGACACAUUGAGAGAGCACUAAUAUAGUUUAAAGCAAAAGUUUGUAUUAUUAAUUUCACAUCGACAGCAUUUACUCAUUUUUCCAUAAUCAAAACAAGCAUACAAUUUCCAAUAAAAAUUUUCAAUUUCAUUACAUAUACUGUUUGGAUUUUCAGAAAUUUUGCCAUCCGUUUCAAAUAUUGAUAUAUUUUCCUUGGUUUAAAAAAAUAUUUUGUUGUACAACUUGAAAUCUUGAGCACUCAAGCUGUUAAGUUUAGCCUUACUCUUAAUAAAAAGUAUUUUUCUCUUCACAUAAGAUCAAGUUUGUUUUUUCUUUCUUUCUUUUAUAGACAUUUUUUCAUUACCAAUGUUCUCCAAAGUAUUUAGACGUCUAAUUAAUUAUUGUAAUCUUCUGACUCUAGCUUUUCGGCAUAUUUUUUUAAUCAUUUCCUCAAACUCAGAAAAAAAUGUCUACUUUAUUGUUUAUAUUUGCUUUGGUGCAUUCAAUUAUAUUUAUAUAAUUGAAUAUUUUUAUAUAUUAUAUAAUUUAUAUAUAUAUAAUAGCAUAUACCUUAGCUUCCAUGAUUGCUUUAUUUUUAAUGUCUUCCUUUGAAGAAGUUUCAAUUUGGACAAAAAUGCCUUUAUGGUCAGAUUGUUAUGUUUCUAUCACCCUGUAUGACUUCAAUGACCCAUUUAAGGAACCUUUGAACAGAAAAAUAUAUAUACGGGAUGAUAAUGGCCUCAAAAACAGUUCUAAGGAGGAGAAAGUAUGAUGUAAUUUGCAGCUUGGCUCCAGCGUCAAGAAAACCAUAGGAUGCAAUAAUUGAGUUAACAGCUUUAGUAGCUCUAGGUUGAGAGUUUUGCGUAUGCGUUGCUGAAUCUCUACUGACUUGAAGCUUGACAUUAAAAUCCCUGCUUGAUAUUAUGGAAAAGAGUUUGGAACAAAAAUUUCCGAAUUAUCAUUAUGUGGACAAUAUACUCAUAUAAUAUCAAUUUCAGUGUCCAAAAAUUUGCAUGUUGCUAUUAUGAGGUUUCUGCCUUUGCACCGAAAUUUUACAUUUGGAGACAUUAUAUUUUUUAUCAAAAUAGUGACUCCUCUUUUCGGAUUCACUAAGUCACUAUAAGGUUAAAAAGAUGCAUAAUAGUCUGGGAAAACAAAAUUAUUUUCUAAAUUACAUCACGUAUCCCACAAUACAAUUAUGUCAGGGAUAUCUAAGCACUUCAAUAAACGGGAUAGAUUAAAUUUCCGUUUGAGACUUUGUAGAGAGUUAACAUAAAAUGAGAAAAUUGACACUGUCUUAUUAUUAUUUUUAUUUUUUUGUUACUAGGAGGAAGGAUAUCUAUGAUCAUGAUUUUUUGAAUAACUUUUUGGGGUUGAUCAUUAACUUCUCUUGCUAUUUGAGAUUCUAAAGCAAGUAUUUUUGUAUUGCAGGCAGAUACACAAUAAUAUUUUCUUCAGAAAUAUCACCAGUAGGUUUUCUUGAUGAAAUAUGAUUUUUGAUUCUGCCUUUUGGUCGAUCUUUUAAUAUUGCAACUUCCUUUUCUUUAUUAUUUCCUAUUUCCUGAGGUAAACUCGUACUGAAUUUUCUUACACGUGGAGAAACCAAAUUCUUACUUAGGGACUUACUUCCUGUAUUAAUUGAAAUAUGUUGUUCCUUCUCCUUGAUGCUACUUUGAAAUAAUAAUUCCCUUUCAUACUCAUCUUGAGUCACAUUUUCGUUAUCUUGAACUUAAGCUGAUUUAUCAGGUGAUUCAAUGAGAACAUCUAAAGUGUAAGAUACCUAACCCUCACCUUAUUCAUCAACAGCCCUAACACAGUCGCUGUCAACCUCCUUGAGUAUUUCUAAAGAUAUAGUAACUCUUUCAUUAGGAUUAUUAGCAUUUUUAUUUGUUGGUGUAGAAAUAUGCCUAUUUCAGGAUGAUUCAUUUUUAUCGAUUAUAGCUCCAGAUAACUCUUUUUCUCGAAGAAGAACAGCUUUUUGGAUGAGAAUACAUCUAUAUUCAAAAAUCAAAAACCCAUUUCGAAAGUAUUUAAUACUGGAAUGACCAAAAUGGAAGCAUUUUGUUCACUGCUGGCGGACUCCAUAAAACCUUAAGUUAACCAAGCUUCCAUCUACACGGAAUAAUUUGAAGCAUAUUCGACGGGUCUCCAAUAACCUCACAGCCUCACUAUCAUCCGGGUUAAGUUUCUAGGUAGGAAUUAAUAACUUCAUAAAAUCUCACUAUCCAAUCUUCAAAAAAAAAUUCAUCAAGCCUCUUAAUGGUGUUGACUGCAAUUUUCCUUCACUACAAAGAACAUGGACAAAAUCUACACGAAA
rnacentral:misc_RNA from 1 species